rnacentral:lncRNA from 1 species
CUAGAGGUCUUAGUUCCAAAGAGAGAGAUGCUUCCACCAGGAGACACAACACUGAUUUCAUUGCACUGGAAUUUAAAACUGCUGCCUGGCUGCUUUGGCUUCCUCAUGCUUCCAAAGCAACAGACAAAGAAGGGGGUUACAUUGCUGGCUGGGGUGAGUGAUCCUGACUACCAAGGGGAAAUUGGACUACUACUCUACAAUGGAGCUUGAUUAUGAAGAGGACAUUAGACAAACGCCAGUGAAGAAGCAUCCUACAAAAUACUCGACCAGAGCUCCUCAAAACUGUUAUGCUCAUCAAAAACGUCUGAGAAACUGUCCCACCCGAAAGGACACUGAGGAGAUAUGACAACUACAUGUAAUAUGGUAUCUGGUCAAAAUUCUCAGGAGUUGUCUGCAUACCCUGUCUUCAGUUUUGCAUGACUCAUUCACCCUUCAACCUCCUCCAACCUGGCUUCUACUCCCUCAGCUCCACCCACGACAUUUGCUGAAGCCAUAAAUUACCUUCAGAAUCAGAGAGCUGGUACCAUUUUAGUAGGUUCGUGGCCUGCCUGAAAACUAUGACCUUGGAGCAUCAUUUACUCAAAAUGCUAAUCCAAAAACAGGACAUCAAAACUAGUCAUCCUUCACCUCAUGGAAAUGAAUACCCCAAGGUUUCCUCUGGUCACUUUCCACACAUCCUCAUUUGGCCCCUGCUCAUGAGCAAGUUGAUUUAGGAGAUGGUGCCUGGCAGUUCCUCCUCUGAUUAUCCAGGGAAGACAGAAAAAGAGGAAAACAGGAGACAAGAAGUAAAGCUUAGAACAGAGAGGUAACCAUUAACCAGUAAGGGCUAAUAGAUGAGUCCAGAGAAAAGAUAACAAAGGAGGCAAGGAGAGCAUGGUAAGCCAUGGUAGGGGUGAGGGAAAGAUAUUGAAGAUUGAACUCCACCAGUGUGGGAUAAUGUUUGUAUGUGGACUGUGUUGUGUCUCAGGUUCAGGUUGUUUAAGCAGCCUAGUGACCCAGAUGGUCCCCUCCUUAGUGUCUGGUUUUGUCAGGUUGUAACUUGGCUUUUUCAGUUCCCUAAUAUCUCACAUUAUCUCCUCUUCCUCCUAGGCCUUAAUCAUGUCUUACUUUUUUACCUCCCAAUUGGUUGAUAUUGAAUUCUUAUUAAAUAAAAAUGUACUCUUUACUCUUGAGUUAAAAUUCUGAUGGGGGAAGAAUGUAUACACAGAAAUAAUGUCACAACUAUUUAUGUUAAUUAAAGGAAAUACAGAGCAAGGUCAACUGAGAUAUUCCGGAGAAGGGAGUUUCCUUAGGGUAUUGCCGCAUGGACAUACGUGCUCACUGUGGCACAGAAACACCUGCAGAUUUUUCUUUCACGUAAGACUCAGAGGCAAAGUUACUGUAAUCAAGAAUAUGUUGUUAAGAAGGCCUGGUAUUAAUACUGUCAUUGGUAAGCAUUUUGUAACUUAUAUAAAGCAGACCUUGGGUUUUCAGGACACUUCAUCUGCUAAUUGUCAACAAAAUACAGCUGAGGUUGCAAUGUGUCAGCAAGAAUGUCAAGGAGGAAGUCAGAGGGUCAAAUCAGCUGGGGCUUGGCCCAUUUACCCUAGGUGGUGUUCUUAAAGACUCAGUGGUUCAUUCUGCUUGGCAGCUUAAAGAGCCAUUGAGGUUCAGAACUAAAAAUGUGUGGGCCAGGAAGAGGGCAGUGAAUGACUGGGACCAACUUGCCAGUGUCUCCCAGGGGCACCGGCUCAGAUAACUGGAAGUCUGGAAGCUUUCUCAUACGCAGCCAGUCCCGUAAGCAGCUCUUGGCAAGACUAAAAAAAAAAAAAAAAAAAAGAAAGAAAAAAAGAAAAGAGCUUCCCACUUGUGUUUCUUAACUGUAACUGUGCCUAAGAAUCACGUGGUGCUUGUCAAAGUGCAUAUUCCUGAGCCCUACUCACAGGCACUUACACGCUCCUUUCGGGGUUGGGCCCAGAGAUCAGCAUUUUCACAGGCACACCAGGUAUUCCAGAAUAAGAUGGUCUGUGGAGCACGUUUUCAGAAAUGCUGCCUUAAAGCCUUCCACGUGUCCCAGCUGUCUAAUCACUGUAUGAGGGUCCAUGAUUUAAUCUAUUUUCAAAGACAGGGGUCUGGAAGUCGUUUUUCUCCUCCCACAUUCAAUCUGUCAUCUCCUUCUGCCACUGUGUUCUAACAUUUCCCUUAAGUUUGGGCCCUCUCCUCAAGCUCCUCACUGAAAAGCACUGUCUAAGCUGGAUGCAUUUCACACGAGAGCUUCUGUGGUUGGACUGCUUAAGUUAAACCAGCCUCCACGAGGGUGUCCAGCAGAGAGGUGCACCUGAGGGAUUAGGGCAACAACCUAACUCGGGCCUCAGUUACUGCAGAAUUCAAUUUGCCAGAGGUGCCAACGUGAAGACCAAAGGUUGAGUCUUACACAGGUCUUCCUGUUUUGUUUCUUUAAACCUUGAACGUUUUGCCAAUGUUUUUAAAUGGGGGGAAUUUCUCAUAGACAUCCAGAUUUCUGGGUGUUCUUAGAAUAUCAGAUCUGGCUAGUUUGGCCAGUUUCCCUAAGGGCAACAGUCAGCUGGGUUGAGGAGAGGCUGCCCUCUUGAGACGCUGUACCAGCCUCCCCAAGCAGAGGUACAUAUUGUCUGAAGAUAAGAAAGCUAACAUGCUAAAGCCUGAUCUUUCAAGGCCCUUGACCCAAUUUUGUAUUUGCAAUUCUGUGUUGUUUUCUUAAAGAGGCCUCCAC